GACGAACCGUGCAAACGUUAUUCGGAAUCACUGGGCAUAAAGGGCGCGUAGGCGGCUUUCUAAGUCAGGGGUGAAAUCCGGCAGCUCAACUGUCGCAGUGCCUUUGAUACUGGCGAUCUUGAGUCCGGGAGAGGUGAGUGGAACUGCGAGUGUAGAGGUGAAAUUCGUAGAUAUUCGCAAGAACACCAGUGGCGAAGGCGGCUCACUGGCCCGGUACUGACGCUGAGGUGCGAAAGCGUGGGGAGCAAACAGG
rnacentral:rRNA from 1 species